rnacentral:rRNA from 1 species
GAUGAACGCUGGCGGCGUGCCUAAUACAUGCAAGUCGAGCGAAUGGAUUAAGAGCUUGCUCUUAUGAAGUUAGCGGCGGACGGGUGAGUAACACGUGGGUAACCUGCCCAUAAGACUGGGAUAACUCCGGGAAACCGGGGCUAAUACCGGAUAAUAUUUUGAACUGCAUGGUUCAAAAUUGAAAGGCGGCUUCGGCUGUCACUUAUGGAUGGACCCGCGUCGCAUUAGCUAGUUGGUGAGGUAACGGCUCACCAAGGCAAUGAUGCGUAGCCGACCUGGGAGGGUGAUCGGCCACACUUGGACUGGGACACGGCCCAUACUCCUACGGGAGGCAGCAGUAGGGAAUCUUCCGCAAUGGACGAAAGUCUGACGGAGCAACGCCGCGUGAGUGAUGAAGGCUUUCGGGUCGUAAAACUCUGUUGUUAGGGAAGAACAAGUGCUAGUUGAAUAAGCUGGCACCUUGACGGUACCUAACCAGAAAGCCACGGCUAACUACGUGCCAGCCGCCGCAGUAA